GCCCGAAUGGCGGAAUUGGUAGACGCCCGGGACUUAAAAUCCCGUAGGAGCAAUCCUGUACCGGUUCGAGUCCGGUUUCGGGCA
rnacentral:tRNA from 1 species